GCCUGGGUGGCUGAGUCGGUUAAGCGCCUGACUUUGGUUCAGGUCAUGAUCUCACAAUUCAUGAGUCCAAGGCC
rnacentral:tRNA from 1 species